GGAGCAGGUCCCAAGGGUUCGGCUGUUCGCCGAUUAAAGUGGUACGUGAGCUGGGUUUAAAACGUCGUGAGACAGUUUGGUCCCUAUCUUUCGUGGGCGCAGGAUAUUUGAGAGGAUCUGUUCUUAGUACGAGAGGACCGGAAUGGACGAACCAAUGGUGUUCCAGUUAUCGCGCCAGCGGUAUAGCUGGGUAGCUACGUUCGGAAUGGAUAACCGCUGAAAGCAUCUAAGCGGGAAACCAACCUCAAGAUGAGAUAUCCCUUCGGGCCUUCGGGCCUGACUAAAGACCCCUUGUAGACUACAAGGUUGAUAGGCCGGGUGUGUAAGUGUGGUAACACAUUUAGCUAACCGGUACUAAUCGGUCGUGAGGCUUGGCCACAAAACAG
rnacentral:rRNA from 1 species